GUUGAGUCUCUGGACUGCCA
rnacentral:piRNA from 1 species